rnacentral:ncRNA from 1 species
GGCGAAGGUGAGAACUUAAGCGCCGGUAAACGGCGGUGGUAACUAUAACCAUCCUAAGGUAGCGAAAUUCCUUGUCGGGUAAGUUCCGACCUGCACGAAUGGCGUAACGACUUCCCCGCUGUCUCAACCACAGGCCCGGUGAAAUUGCAGUACGAGUAAAGAUGCUCGUUUCGCGCAGCAGGACGGAAAGACCCCGGGACCUUCACUACAGCUUGACAUUGGCGUUUGGAGCGUCUUGUGUAGGAUAGGUGGGAGACUGGGAAGCUGCGACGCUAGUCGUGGUGGAGUCAUUGGUGAAAUACCACUCUGGUCGUUUUGGACGUCUAACCCGCGCCCGUGUAUCCGGGUGGGGGACAGUGUCUGGUGGGUAGUUUAACUGGGGCGGUUGCCUCCUAAAAGGUAACGGAGGCGCCCAAAGGUUCCCUCAGCCUGGUUGGCAAUCAGGUGUCGAGUGUAAGUGCACAAGGGAGCUUGACUGUGAGACUGACGGGUCGAGCAGGAGCGAAAGCUGGGACUAGUGAUCCGGCAUCGGCGUGUGGAAGCGGUGUCGCUCAACGGCUAAAAGGUACCCCGGGGAUAACAGGCUGAUCUUCCCCAAGAGUCCAUAUCGACGGGAUGGUUUGGCACCUCGAUGUCGGCUCGUCGCAUCCUGGGGCUGGAGUAGGUCCCAAGGGUUGGGCUGUUCGCCCAUUAAAGCGGUACGCGAGCUGGGUUUAGAACGUCGCGAGACAGUUCGGUCCCUAUCCGCUGCGCGCGCAGGAGACUUGCGAGGGGCUGUCCCUAGUACGAGAGGACCGGGACGGACGAACCUCUGGUGUGCCAGUUGUUCCGCCAGGAGCACGGCUGGUUGGCUACGUUCGGUAGGGAUAACCGCUGAAAGCAUCUAAGCGGGAAGCUCGCCUCAAGAUGAGGUCUCCCACCACCUUGUGUGGGUAAGGCCCCCUAGAGAUGAUGGGGUUGAUAGGCCGGAAGUGGAAGCGCAGUAAUGUGUGGAGCUGACCGGUACUAAUAGGCCGAGGACUUGACCAU